GGGCUCUCAUGAUGGAAUUAGGGCCUUUAUAAGAAGAGAUAUCAGAGAACUUGCUCUUUCUCUCUCUCACUCUCUCCCACUCCUAACACACAUUCCGAGAAAGGUAGAGCACAUGAGAGCACAGCACACCUGUUUCCAAAGAGGAAGAGAAUAUUUAACAGAAACUGACCCCUGCUGGACCCUGACAUUGGACUCUACAGCCUCUAGUUGGCUAGAGCCCUAACAGACUAACACAGCAGCCAUUCCCUCUCUUUCCUAACAGAACCCUUAUUUUGUAAUGGGUGGGAACCUCGGCAACAGAACCCCAGGGGGUGAAUAAUGAUUUGUGUAAGACAAUCAUUGAACUACUAUUCCCCUUUUUCAAUAAUGGGCUUAGGGGUGGGCACAUCGAUCAGUUAUGGCCAAUGAGAUGGAAAAGAAUGUUGGCCAUUAAAAAAAUCCUUUUUCCUUUGCCCCUUCCUCUUGUGUAGUUGGAGCAUCAGCAGCCAUCUUGUGACCAGGAGAUAACAUACGAGAGGAAGAAUAGCUAAUACCCUGGUAAUGGCGAAGCCAAGAGUGCUUAGUGAUGCUGAGCCAUUUAACCAGUCCUAGGACUUCAUGCUAAGCAUUGGGAAUUUAACAGUGGAUAAAACAGACAUGGUUCCUGACUCUGUGGAAUUUACUACAUUCUUUCCUGGGAUAAAGAAAGACAUCAAGCAAGAAAUGACAAGUCUGAUAUAUGUGAGGAAAUGCAAAGUAUGGGAUGCUUCAGAAUAAAAUAGUGAGUUGAUAAUAUAAAUGUUCCAGGAAUUUAUGAAUGAGAUAUAGCCAUGUACAAUAAAUAAUAGGUCAUGUUUUUACUUUAGGUAAGUGGUAGUCUUUGUAAGGUCUUCAGUAGGGUGGUGACAUGUUGGCCAGAGGUGUUUCAAGAAGGUGGUACGUCUUAGAGGUUAGGCAUUUUGGAGUCAGGGUGAUAUUAGAUUUAAAUCCUGCCUCUGCCACUUACUAGCUUUGUGAACUCAGUUUUAUCAUCUCUAAUUGGAAUAAGUAUAGUAGUCUC
rnacentral:lncRNA from 1 species